CCUGUGUGGCACUCAGAUGUAUCAGAAGCUUUCGUCAGUGGAGCAGAAUGUUUGGCACCCAAGGUUAUCACCAGCUAUAUGUCUUUCUGGGAUUGCCCAGGAACAGAUGCUGCAGUGGAGCAUGCACUGAAUGGAAGCACGCAUCUCCUCUUGGCUGGUAGUAUCCAGGAACAGAUUUAUCUGUGGGUCUGAACACACCAAAGUGAACCUUGUCCCUGUGGGUUGGGGUGCAAGAGUGAGUCUGCAGUGUUGGUGGCACCGAAGGAAUCCUUACAGAAGCUUCAGAUGGACAAACUGAGAUCAGCUCUGAACUAUGACUAUGAACACGAUAAAGUGAUAAUGUAAGAUCUGCG